rnacentral:rRNA from 1 species
GACGAACGCUGGCGGCGUGCUUAACACAUGCAAGUCGAACGGAAAGGCCCUGCUUUUGUGGGGUGCUCGAGUGGCGAACGGGUGAGUAACACGUGAGUAACCUGCCCUUGACUUUGGGAUAACUUCAGGAAACUGGGGCUAAUACCGGAUAGGAGCUCCUGCUGCAUGGUGGGGGUUGGAAAGUUUCGGCGGUUGGGGAUGGACUCGCGGCUUAUCAGCUUGUUGGUGGGGUAGUGGCUUACCAAGGCUUUGACGGGUAGCCGGCCUGAGAGGGUGACCGGCCACAUUGGGACUGAGAUACGGCCCAGACCCCUACGGGAGGCAGCAGUGGGGAAUAUUGCACAAUGGGCGGAAGCCUGAUGCAGCAACGCCGCGUGCGGGAGGACGGCCUUCGGGUUGUAAACCGCUUUCGCCUGUGACGAAGCGUGAGUGACGGUAAUGGGUAAAGAAGCACCGGCUAACUA